GAAUCUGAUCAUAUGUAGUGUAAAUAAAAUUCCCUGUUGACCACUGUUAAAUAUAAAUGUUGAACUACAGUGAAAUAACAUCAGUAUUGUAGCAGUUCUUCCUCUACUAUUUAAUAAAGACAAUGAUACAUCAAAUUUACCAAAUGAUGAUCAGUAUCAAACCUGUGAUGAUUCUUCUUCUGGUUCAUCAGACCUGUCAGCUAGAGACGAACUUCGAGCGAUGUAAACUGACAUCAGUAUCAACUGUACUGGAUUCAAUCAAUCUACUUGUUACACAAGCUAAACAGAAAAUACACAGCGAUGAACUGGAAUGUGUUCCAACCUCUCCUGGACCAAUAGACUGUGCAGAUGUUUUCCUUAAUGGACACCGUAGUAGUGGAGUGUACCGUAUCUGGCCCAAGUCAUGGAUGUUUACAGGAAGUAUUGAUAUUUACUGUGAUAUGGACACUGAUGGAGGAGGCUGGACAGUGAUCCAGAGACGAGGGGAUUAUGGAAACCCCACAGAUUACUUCUAUAAAUCGUGGCAAGAAUACAAAAUGGGGUUUGGAGACAUAGAGAAAGAUUUCUGGUUGGGAAAUUACUGGAUUUUUACUUUAACGAACCAAGGAAAAUAUUCAAUCAGGUUCGAUCUGAGAGACAAAGAAAAUGAAACACGGUUCGCCCUCUAUCGGGAGUUUAGGAUAGAUAGUGAAGACCUGUACUAUCGUUUACAUAUUAAAGGUUACACAGGAGAUGCAGGGGACAGUAUGGUGUAUCACAACGGGUUAAAUUUCUCCACCAAGGAUAGUGACCACGACACGUAUUCUGGUAGUUGUGUAAAGUCAUAUAAAGGAGGAUGGUGGUAUGGAGAAUGUCAUUCUUCUAACUUAAAUGGACUUUAUCUGAAUGGACAACACGAGAGCUACGCUAAUGGUGUGAACUGGAAAACAUGGAAAGGUUAUCAUUACUCUCUCCCGGAAGUGUCAAUGAAAAUACGACCCCUUAACUUGGAGAUUCCGACAAAUCACAGUAACAUUCCAAUGUAAAAUACAAUUUUGUUAUUUUUUCAAACCAUCUAUUUCUAUUUGAUGGAUAAAAUUAACUUUAAUUUGUUGGAAGUUUCUGAUUAUGGACAAAUUGUGAACAAAAGUUGGUAAAUCGUGAUGAGAAAACGAAUAAAUUUUAGUUAAAUUUACUUAUAUUAAGGAAUAGUUAUUGUUGGAGAACAUAGAAGGUUUAAUGUUUAGAUUCUAUUUGUAUUCAAUUACGAAAAAAAUGUUUUAUUUUAAAUUAUUUUAAAAUCAAACAUUGUUUUAUCAUUUAUUUCUUUUUUAUUAACUUUGAAAAUACCUACACAUGAAAUAUAUGAUAGUAUUUGAUAAUUUUCUAUUUACUUGACUCAUUGUUCCAUAUUUUGUAUUUUUACUAGUUGCGAGUUUAAUAUUCUCAUAAUGAUAAAUCUAAGUUCAGAAUGAACAAAGCUAGAGAAACACACUUUAUGUUAAUAACUUUAUACUCAACUUGAUCGUGUUUUCAUGAUUUAUUGUGUUUUUGAUCUACAUUAAGAACAAUGACCUGAGAAACACCUCGUUUCUUAUAAAUCAUUUUAUUUUAUGUGGCAUGUUAAGGCACAUCUACAAUAUUCGAUUACAAAUAUGUUAGUAAUUCGCUGUUGGAUCAGAAUAGCAAACACUUAAAUACAAGUUAAGUCUGAACAUGAAUCAAUGUCACAUUUUCUGGAUAACUUGGUUCAUAAUCACCUGAACAAUUUUAAUGACAUUGUAUAUCAUUGAACAAAAUUUCCUAUUUAUUAAAAACUCACCCAAAACAACAUUAAAAAUACACAAUAAUCUAAAAUUGUUGAAGGCUUUACUAAAAAUCUUCAUGUUUUGGUUGGUCACAGACCUACUGUCAUCAGCAUUGUGACAAAUACCUUAACCAAUAAUUUGACAUUCAUGUUAGUAGUUAUCCUUGUACUUUAUUUUCCACGAAUAUGUUUCAGAUAUCAGUUAUGAUGUUUCUCGACUCAUCAAUUUCUAAAACUGGGUGAAAUUCUGCAUAUGCUAAAACACUUGUAGUGCUGGGUAAGGCACUACCAAAACGUAUUUAAGUUUGCAAGUUUCUCUGUUUCAUCAAGUUAAAUUGAAAAUCUCCAACAGAUAGAUCAGAUGUCAGGUCAAAGGCAAAGAGUGUAUAUUCAAUCAAGUAUUCGUUAUAUUCUGUAUCAAUUCCUGGAUCUUAAAAUUGUUUUCCAGUCCCACUAAUUAAUGUUUCGAAGAUUUGUCCAUACAGUGCAGCUUCAAAAUCUGGUUUUAAAGUUUGAGCAGGAAUCUGUUUUCUGUCCACGUUAAUUUUCACGAAAUUGAUACUGAGAUGUUUAAAAUUGUACGGAUAUUUCUUCCAAGGUCCAUUAAAUGCAUUGUUGUCAACAUAUCCUAUAACAAGACGUGUAGGUACUUAACCUAAAAAAAUAUUAUCAAUAGAUGCUUGUAAGAUUCUCUAGGGAGUUGAAAACGAUUUGCACGCUAUAUAUUUUGAAGGAUAUUUAGCUGUUCCUUUUUGAAAAGGUUUAGCUUGCAAAAGAAUGACUGAUGGGCUGAUCUUAACUUUUUACCACUGACCCACGAUAUUAAAUACUGACCAUCGAGCUCGUCUAUAAAUUCACCAAGAUAAUCCCUAGAAGUGGAUCGUUAUAUCCAUCUGAAAUAUAAACAAUGAUAUCUGUAUCAUUAUACAAUACAGAAGAACCUAACUUCUCUAGUGUAUGAUAUAAUUUGAGAUGAGCAGAUGCUAUUGUCAUAUUCGCCAGGAAGAUGUUGAUUUGAUCUUUCUGUGGCUGAUACUGAUGCUUAUGUUUACAAUGAAGAGAAAUUACUUCAUUGUUAAUCAGUGUAACAAAGUCGUAACAGAGAAACUAUUAUAUUAAAUUACGGUGUUUAAUGUAAAGGUAAUGCUGGAAGUUAAAAGUUUUUCAUCAGUAAACAAGAAAAUGUGCAAUCACAACAUUCUAUUUAUCAAGAUUUGAUGGUCCUAAAAGGACUCUAGAUUAUAAUUAAAUGAUUCAACAAAAAUCAUCUUCUUCACAUGAUGAAAACACAUUAUCUUCCAUAUAUUCAUCCUCAUAAAUUAUGUUUUAUGAACAUUUAUUGUACAAACUUUACUUACUAUAUGCUUUCACAGACAUUGUUUAACAUAAUCACCACACAAUGAUGAUAAUCUUAACCUACAAAAUACAAGGAGUUUUAUACACAUAUUUAGAUGUAAUGUAAGAUUAAUAUAGUACUGUAACUAUCAUACGUAACUGAUAUGAUGAUAACUUGGCUAUAUAGUAAAGUUGUUGUUGUUGA
rnacentral:misc_RNA from 1 species